UUAGAAACACUAUUGACAUUUCCACAUACGCAGAACAAAUCAACCGUGGCCAAACUUAAGUUGUUUGCACUUAAAGUAAAUCGGUGGACGGUUAUUAUUUAAUAACUGCUCGAAAUUUUACCAAGUAACAUAUUGAAAAAAAUUGGACUUUUAAACAUGUCAUCGCAUUGUAUGGCCGUAUUGAUUUUCUUAUUAUUGAUUAAUUGCUGGGGAGUAACGGAUACAGUAGCUACUGCAUUGUUACCUCAGAUUAUGAUACAAGCUUCAAAAUGUCCUGAAUGUCAAAUCCUUUCACAUUCAGGCAAUUGUCGCCCAGUCAUUAAAUUUGGCAAAGAUUCACCAUGCUACAUACACCCAGUGAUUUAAUGGUGGUUUUUGAAACUACCCAAGGAAUGUCUAUAGGAACAUCACUGCAUUUGGAUGGUUUAUAAAAUAUGUAAAAAGUUUUAUUUUAGAGCAAAUACAACAAUUGCGAACAUGAAUUUUUGAGUAACGUAUUAAAAAUGUUUGAAACGUUGA